UUUGCAACAUUAUGGAGGCGGACUGCUCGAGUUACCUGACGAGGGUACGUCACGGAUCCGCUAUGACCCAGACUGAGCAGGCAGAUGCAUGGUCGAGGACUCGAGACCAUCUGCGUUCAGUACUGCACAACUUGGGGAGCCGUGUGCAGUAUGAAGAUAGUCACGGAUCGUCCCAGGCCUCGUCGUCGUUCCAGUGUCCAGCUUCCACGCACGAGACGACCUUUCAGCCAGAUCUGCCACACCAGUACUUCAAUACUGGAGGAUAUGGUCCCUCUUCUGCGUUCGGCCAUACUGGCCAUUUGGGCCAGCAAGGAUCCCAGUUCGUUCCACAGUAGGGAUGGGAAUGUUUGGAGGGCUACCACCAGUUGGGGGACCGUACUCAGGGAUGGGACCACCGACACACACACCACCCUACACAGGAUUCUAUCCAGAUGCGGGCGUCGGACCUUCCUCCUCCAUACGACCUGGUACAAAAUAAUCUCUCAAUACACUCACUAUAUUUUUAACAAAACAUAU